UACGGGGGGGGCAAGCGUUGUUCGGAAUUACUGGGCGUAAAGGGCUCGUAGGCGGCCAACUAAGUCAGACGUGAAAUCCCUCGGCUUAACCGGGGAACUGCGUCUGAUACUGGAUGGCUUGAGGUUGGGAGAGGGAUGCGGAAUUCCAGGUGUAGCGGUGAAAUGCGCAGAUAUCAGGAGGAACACCGGUGGCGAAGGCGGUUCUCCUGGGCAGUGUCCUGACGCUGAGGAGCGAAAGUGUGGGGAGCGAACAGG
rnacentral:rRNA from 1 species